UUGUCGGCUAAAUACCGACCUGCACGUAUGGUGUAACGACUUGGGCGCUGUCUCAACAGGGGACUCGGCGAAAUUGUAGUUCCGGUGAAGAUGCCGGAUACCCGCGACGGGACGGAAAGACCCCAUGAACCUUUACUCCAGCCUGGUACUGGGUUUCGACUCAGUAUGUGCAGGAUAGGUGGGAGACUGUGAAGCGGGAACGUCAGUUCUCGUGGAGUCGCCCUUGAAAUACCACCCUUAUUGUGUUGGAAUUCUAACCUCGAUCCUUGAAUCAGGAUUGGGAACACUGCCAGGUGGGAAGUUUGGCUGGGGCGGCCGGUCGGCAAUCGCGCGAAGAGUGCAAAGGCAUAAGGGAGCUUAACUGCGAGACAUACAGGUCGAGCAGAUGCGAAAGCAGGGCUUAGUGACCCGGCGGUUGCGCGUGGAAGCGCCGGAGAUCAACGGAUAAAAGGUACUCCGGGGAUAACAGGCUUAUCUCCCCCAAGCGUACAUAGCGACGGGGAGGUUUGGCACCUCGAUGUCGGCUCAUCACAUCCUGGGGCUGGACAAGGUCCCAAGGGUUUCCCUGUUCGGGAAUUAAAGUCGGUACGCGAGCUGGGUUUAGAACGUCGUGAGACAGUUCGGUCCCUAUCUGUCGUGGGCGCAGGAUAUUUGAGGAGAGCUGUCCCUAGUACGAGAGGACCGGGAUGGACGAACCUCUAGUGUACCAGUUGUCUCGCCAGGGGCAUUGCUGGGUAGCUAUGUUCGGAAGGGAUAAGCGCUGAAAGCAUCUAAGUGCGAAGCCCACUCCAAGAUGAGAUAUCCCGUGGGAUAACCCACCUAAAGGCUCCUUGUAGACUACAAGGUCGAUAGGUCACAGGUGUAAGCGCAGCAAUGCGUUCAGCCGAGUGAUACUAAUCAGCCGUGAGGCUUGACCUU
rnacentral:rRNA from 1 species